rnacentral:rRNA from 1 species
AUUGAACGCUGGCGGCAUGCCUUACACAUGCAAGUCGAACGGCAGCACGGGAGCUUGCUCCUGGUGGCGAGUGGCGAACGGGUGAGUAAUACAUCGGAACGUACCCUGAAGUGGGGGAUAACGUAGCGAAAGUUACGCUAAUACCGCAUAUUCUGUGAGCAGGAAAGAGGGGGAUCGCAAGACCUCUUGCUUUAGGAGCGGCCGAUGUCGGAUUAGCUAGUUGGUGAGGUAAAGGCUCACCCAAGGCGACGAUCCGUAGCGGGUCUGAGAGGAUGAUCCGCCACACUGGGACUGAGACACGGCCCAGACUCCUACGGGAGGCAGCAGUGGGGAAUUUUGGACAAUGGCGCAAGCCUGAUCCAGCCAUGCCGCGUGAGUGAAGAAGGCCU